rnacentral:lncRNA from 1 species
UUUUUCAGUAAUCUCUACACCCAAGGUGGGGCUUGAACUUCCAACACAGAAUAUCAAGAGUCACAUGCUCUACUGAAUGAGUCAGCCAAGUGCCCCAUUAGCCCCCUUUUUUUUGAAUGGAUAAAAUGAUACUUAAACUUUCAGGAUUUGAACUCAAAUUCUGAUCUCCAAAGUUCAUGCUCCUAUCCACUUUAUACUUCAAAGGGAAAGGAUAACAACUAAAUUGAUAUAAAAGGAUUUUUUUCAAGAAAGCAUAUUUAAACAUUUAAGUUGGGAAUUUCCUAUGAUAUCUUAUUGGAGACUUCUUUGUGAGGCUUUCUAAAAUAAAUCACCAUAUAUAUGAAUGAUUUUUCUGGACUUGCUGCUUGUUUUUCUAUCUCAUACCUUCAUACAUGCUGUUCUUUCUCUACUAAGUCCUUACCAUCUUAUCCACCUGUAGAAUUCCAAUUUACACUUUAAAAUUUUGUGAGGGCAUCACUUUGGAUUUGAAGUUUUCUGCCAAAGAAUAUAUUUUUAUCAUAAGGGGUUUCUGGAACUCAGAAUUACUUUAUAAACAUACAUUUCUAGAUAUUAUAUUUGUUUAUUUACCUAUUUUCUUUAUUCACUCUGAAUUUUUUCAAAUGCAGAAUCCAUUUCUUCCUAUUUUUUGAACCUGUAGUGCUUGUGUAGCACAAAGCCACACAUACAUUGAGGAACUUAGUAAAAAUCUUGGCUAACUGCAUUUCUUUGUUUCCAUAUGGUCGUUGGGUAGGUUUGAGGUAUUACUUGUCCCUAACUGGCCAAGCAGGUGUGAAAAACAUCCAGACAUGCCAUUGCCCAUGUUUCUUCCUUCUUGAAACUUUCCAUUUCUCCACACAGAAUGUACUCCAUUCUUUUUGGUUUCAGAGUCCUUACUUCAAUUCAGGUCUGUCUCUUUGCAAAGGCCAUGUCCUUAAUGACUACAAUAUAUCUAGGACAUCCAUCAUCUACUAUGGCUUGGGCUAGAUUUUAAAGCACAAAUAAAAACAAAGCAAGCACUUCAUAAUCUUAGGGAUAGGUAGACACUAAAGGUAAAGAGAACUUUAAAAUAAAAAGAUAAACGUGUGUGCCAUUAACAAAAAAAGAAGCAAAUUAAUUCUGCCUGAGGAGAGUUAGGAUGAUUUGAUAGAAGUAACAUCGGAAUUGGGCCUUAUAGUAAAACAUGUUCAUUUGGCGAGGUGGGGGGAGUGGGGAGCAAUGAGGAAUGGGUAAGGCAAGAGGCACUGUACAGAAGACGGCACAUGUCUAAAAGCAAGGAGACCUGAAGAAGCCCAACAUAAUAUUGAAGCGGAAGCAGUCUGGUGAGCUGCAACAAGGGGAAAAGCAAGGCUGGAGGUCUAAGAUGGAGUAAAAUAAAUAGACUUAUGUGCCAGACUGAAAAUAUGAUUUUAUAGAAACUGAGAUGGAGACCUCUGAAUGACUUUAAUCAGGGUAGUGACAAAACUAGAUUUGUGUUUGGGAACAACUGACUUCAGCAAAAGAUAGAAUAUAGAGUACAGGGAAGGCCAGAGGUAGAUUUAUUAGCUAAAAAGGCUACUUACUACCAUUGUCUAGCCAAAAAAUGAGCUAAAGCAACAGAAAUAAGAAUAACAUGAAGAUAUAAAUGGGUAGACUUAGGGGUUAUGAAGGAGACAAGUUCUAUAGGAUUUGGUAACUGACUAUGGAGGUAAAGCAAAGAGUAGAAGAUGGUGACAUUUCUAACUUGGGAAUGGGGGAACAGAAUGACACCAUGCAAGAGCGUAAAUAUAAGCAGAAGGAGAUGUUUUGAGAGAUGUAAAUGAGUUUAAUUACAAAAAUGCUGAUUUU